rnacentral:rRNA from 1 species
UACGUAGGGGGCAAGCGUUAUCCGGAUUUACUGGGUGUAAAGGGAGCGUAGACGGCGAUGCAAGCCAGAUGUGAAAGCCCGGGGCUCAACCCCGGGACUGCAUUUGAAACUGUAUAGCUAGAGUGUCGGAGAGGCAGGCGGAAUUCCUAGUGUAGCGGUGAAAUGCGUAGAUAUUAGGAGGAACACCAGUGGCGAAGGCGGCCUGCUGGACGAUGACUGACGUUGAGGCUCGAAAGCGUGGGGAGCAAACAGG